UACGGAGGGUGCGAGCGUUGUCCGGAAUCACUGGGCGUAAAGGGCGCGUAGGCGGCGCGGGUAGUCAUCGGUGAAAGUUCAGGGCUCAACUCUGAAUCGGCCGGUGAUACUCCCGUGCUCGAGCACUGUAGAGGCAGGUGGAAUUCCGGGUGUAGCGGUGGAAUGCGUAGAGAUCCGGAAGAACACCGGUGGCGAAGGCGGCCUGCUGGGCAGUAGCUGACGCUGAUGCGCGACAGCGUGGGGGAGCAAACAGG
rnacentral:rRNA from 1 species